rnacentral:rRNA from 1 species
GACGAACGCUGGCGGCGUGCUUAACACAUGCAAGUCGAACGGAAAGGCCCUGCUUUUGUGGGGUGCUCGAGUGGCGAACGGGUGAGUAACACGUGAGUAACCUGCCCUUGACUUUGGGAUAACUUCAGGAAACUGGGGCUAAUACCGGAUAGGAGCUCCUGCUGCAUGGAGGGGGUUGGAAAGUCUCGGCGGUUGGGGAUGGACUCGCGGCUUAUCAGCUUGUUGGUGGGGUAGUGGCUUACCAAGGCGUUGACGGGUAGCCGGCAUGGGAGGGUGACCGGCGACAUUGGGACUGCGAUACGGCCCAGACUCCUAUGGGAGGCAGCAGUGGGGAAUAUUGCACAGUGGGCGGGAGCCUGAUGCAGCAACGCCGCGGGCGGGAUGACGGCCUUCGGGUUGUAAACCGCUUUCGCCUGUGACGAAGCGUUAGUGACGGUAAUGGGUAAAGAAGCACCGGCUAACUACGUG